UUCAAUGAAGGUAUGAAUCAGAGAGAUUGAAGAAAUACACAAAAAAUUACGACAAAUUUGAAUCUUCAAACAUUUUUUUCUUUUUCUCACUUGUUUCCUUUCUUGUGCUACAAAUAACCCUAAUU
rnacentral:ribozyme from 1 species